UACGUAGGGCGCAAGCGUUGUCCGGAAUUAUUGGGCGUAAAGAGCUCGUAGGCGGCUUGUUGCGUCUGCUGUGAAAUCCCGGGGCUUAACCCCGGGCGUGCAGUGGAUACGGGCAGGCUAGAGGCAGGCAGGGGAGAACGGAAUUCCUGGUGUAGCGGUGAAAUGCGCAGAUAUCAGGAGGAACACCGGUGGCGAAGGCGGUUCUCUGGGCCUGAUCUGACGCUGAGGAGCGAAAGCGUGGGGAGCGAACAGG
rnacentral:rRNA from 1 species